GAUAACCAAAUAUCUGUCCUGGAUUUAUUGUUGGAUCUGUAAUGAUUCUGACUUGACCAAAAUCUCCCGCCCAAGGGUCAAACAACCCGCCCCAAAACAUGGCUUUAAAGACCAGUAAAUAGGCACCCAAUCCGAGUAGUACUAGAUGAAUCCCAAUGAUGCUGGUCAUCUUAUUCUCAUCUUGCCA
rnacentral:antisense_RNA from 1 species